rnacentral:rRNA from 1 species
UAGGGAAUCUUCGGCAAUGGGGGGAACCCUGACCGAGCAACGCCGCGUGAGUGAAGAAGGUUUUCGGAUCGUAAAGCUCUGUUGUUAAGGAAGAACGAGUGUGAGAAUGGAAAGUUCAUGCUGUGACGGUACUUAACCAGAAAGGGACGGCUAACUACGUGCCAGCAGCCGCGGUAAUACGUAGGUCCCGAGCGUUGUCCGGAUUUAUUGGGCGUAAAGCGAGCGCAGGCGGUUAGAAAAGUCUGAAGUGAAAGGCAGUGGCUCAACCAUUGUAGGCUUUGGAAACUGUUUAACUUGAGUGCAGAAGGGGAGAGUGGAAUUCCAUGUGUAGCGUUGAAAUGCGUAGAUAUAUGGAGGAACACCGGUGGCGAAAGCGGCUCUCUGGUCUGUAACUGACGCUGAGGCUCGAAAGCGUGGGGAGCGAACAGG